CAGAGUUCAUGCCCUUCGGGGUAGAUCUCCCACCCUAUGUAUUUAUACCUUUGUUGCUUUGGUAGGCCGCCGGGCUUCGGCCAGGCUACCGGCUCCGGCUGGUAAGCGCCUGCCAGAGGACCAAACUCUGAAUUUUAGUGUCGUCUGAGUACUAUAUAAUAGUUA
rnacentral:misc_RNA from 1 species